AUACUCUGGUUUCUCUUCAAAUCGUAUAAAUCUUUCGCCUUUUACUAAAGAUUUCCGUGGAGAGAAGCAACUCUGAGUUUUUGUUUAAUUUUUUGAGGUCUUGCGCUUGCAGGACU